GGUAACACUAACUGGAGGACCGAACCGACUAAUGUUGAAAAAUUAGCGGAUGACCUGUGGCUGGGGGUGAAAGGCCAAUCAAACCGGGAGAUAGCUGGUUCUCCCCGAAAGCUAUUUAGGUAGCGCCUCGUGAAUUCAUCUCCGGGGGUAGAGCACUGUUUCGGCUAGGGGGCCAUCCCGGCUUACCAACCCGAUGCAAACUGCGAAUACCGGAGAAUGUUAUCACGGGAGACACACGGCGGGUGCUAACGUCCGUCGUGAAGAGGGAAACAACCCAGACCGCCAGCUAAGGUCCCAAAGUCAUGGUUAAGUGGGAAACGAUGUGGGAAGGCCCAGACAGCCAGGAUGUUGGCUUAGAAGCAGCCAUCAUUUAAAGAAAGCGUAAUAGCUCACUGGUCGAGUCGGCCUGCGCGGAAGAUGUAACGGGGCUAAACCAUGCACCGAAGCUGCGGCAGCGAUGCUGGAGGUAUCAGAAGUGCGAAUGCUGACAUAAGUAACGAUAAAGCGGGUGAAAAGCCCGCUCGCCGGAAGACCAAGGGUUCCUGUCCAACGUUAAUCGGGGCAGGGUGAGUCGACCCCUAAGGCGAGGCCGAAAGGCGUAGUCGAUGGGAAACGGGUUAAUAUUCCCGUACUUGGUGUUACUGCGAAGGGGGGACGGAGAAGGCUAUGUUGGCCGGGCGACGGUUGUCCCGGUUUAAGCGUGUAGGUGUGUGUUCCAGGUAAAUCCGGUUCACUUUAACACUGAGGCGUGACGACGAGGCACUACGGUGCUGAAGCAACAAAUGCCCUGCUUCCAGGAAAAGCCUCUAAGCAUCAGGUAACAUCAAAUCGUACCCCAAACCGACACAGGUGGUCAGGUAGAGAAUACCAAGGCGCUUGAGAGAACUCGGGUGAAGGAACUAGGCAAAAUGGUGCCGUAACUUCGGGAGAAGGCACGCUGACACGUAGGUGAAGUGAUUUACUCAUGGAGCUGAAGUCAGUCGAAGAUACCAGCUGGCUGCAACUGUUUAUUAAAAACACAGCACUGUGCAAACACGAAAGUGGACGUAUACGGUGUGACGCCUGCCCGGUGCCGGAAGGUUAAUUGAUGGGGUCAGCGCAAGCGAAGCUCCUGAUCGAAGCCCCGGUAAACGGCGGCCGUAACUAUAACGGUCCUAAGGUAGCGAAAUUCCUUGUCGGGUAAGUUCCGACCUGCACGAAUGGCGUAAUGAUGGCCAGGCUGUCUCCACCCGAGACUCAGUGAAAUUGAACUCGCUGUGAAGAUGCAGUGUACCCGCGGCAAGACGGAAAGACCCCGUGAACCUUUACUAUAGCUUGACACUGAACAUUGAGCCUUGAUGUGUAGGAUAGGUGGGAGGCUUUGAAGUGUGGACGCCAGUCUGCAUGGAGCCGACCUUGAAAUACCACCCUUUAAUGUUUGAUGUUCUAACGUGGACCCGUAAUCCGGGUUGCGGACAGUGUCUGGUGGGUAGUUUGACUGGGGCGGUCUCCUCCUAAAGAGUAACGGAGGAGCACGAAGGUUGGCUAAUCCUGGUCGGACAUCAGGAGGUUAGUGCAAUGGCAUAAGCCAGCUUGACUGCGAGCGUGACGGCGCGAGCAGGUGCGAAAGCAGGUCAUAGUGAUCCGGUGGUUCUGAAUGGAAGGGCCAUCGCUCAACGGAUAAAAGGUACUCCGGGGAUAACAGGCUGAUACCGCCCAAGAGUUCAUAUCGACGGCGGUGUUUGGCACCUCGAUGUCGGCUCAUCACAUCCUGGGGCUGAAGUAGGUCCCAAGGGUAUGGCUGUUCGCCAUUUAAAGUGGUACGCGAGCUGGGUUUAGAACGUCGUGAGACAGUUCGGUCCCUAUCUGCCGUGGGCGCUGGAGAACUGAGGGGGGCUGCUCCUAGUACGAGAGGACCGGAGUGGACGCAUCACUGGUGUUCGGGUUGUCAUGCCAAUGGCACUGCCCGGUAGCUAAAUGCGGAAGAGAUAAGUGCUGAAAGCAUCUAAGCACGAAACUUGCCCCGAGAUGAGUUCUCCCUGAGACUUAGAGUCUCCUGAAGGAACGUUGAAGACGACGACGUUGAUAGGCCGGGUGUGGA
rnacentral:rRNA from 1 species